rnacentral:lncRNA from 1 species
AUCUUUUACCAAAAAAAUUACUUAUCUGAAAUUAACAUCUUACAGGACAUGCUGUGUUUUAUCUGGAAACCUAACCAUGGAAGAGAAUGAAGCUUGCAUGGAGACAGAGUUCUCCUUUGAGGGGAGUAGCGAACUGUGGGAAGUCUUUGGAAGAAGUAGAACAUUGAUGGGAAUUCAGAGGCGAAGCUUCCCAUGAGCCCCUGGGAAGCCGGAAGCAGGCACAGGUCUCCUUCCUGGAUGCUGGGGCUUUCCAUCUGGCUCAGUGGUAAAGAACCCGAGUACCAGUGAAGAACAUGCAGGAGAUGCGGGUUCCAUCCCUGGGUCGGGAAGAUCCCCUGGAGGAGGAAAUGGCAACCCACUCCAGUAUUCUUGCCUGGAAAAUCCCACAGACAGAGGAGCCUGGCAGGCUACAGUCUAUAGGGUCACAAAGAUCCAGACAGGACUGAGCAUGUUAUGUUAUGUUAUGCUUCUGGAUGCUGAAGAAAUGGUUUCUUCUCAUUCUUGAAUUGAAGAGGAAAAGUAGGCAAGAAUGAUUUCUAAACAAAGCACAAUUUUAAGCAGAGCAUUUAUGUACCUAUGUUCUCCUUCCUUGUUACAGACAGACAACCUUCCUCUGGGAGGGGACUAAAAUCUUACUGUCAAAACAACAGAUAUUGACUGUGAUCUGUUCAUUGCUUUUGGUUUUCAUGAGGAAAAAUAAGAGAUUGUUAUAUGGAAGCCUAAGAGAGGGCCUCAGGCACCAUACAGAGAAUUUUCCAUGAUUGGAGCUAACAUUCCCAAGUACCGACUACUGCCCAGUAAUAUGCUAGCCUUCCUACCAUUACAGUCAGGCUUCCUACAUGCAGCCAGCCUUUUAAGACCCAGCUCUACAAGCUUCCCUGGUGGCUCAGAGGUUAAAGCAUCUGCAAUGCAGGAGACCCAGGUUCAAUCCCUGGGUUGGGAAGAUCCCCUGAAGAAGGAAACGGCAACCCACUGCAGUUCUCUUGCAUGGAAAAUCCUGUGGACAGAGGAGCCUGGUGGGCUACAGUCCAUGAGGUCCCAAAGAGUUGGACCCGGCUAAGUGACUAACACUUUCACUUUUCUGCAAGCCUAGCAGAAAAAGCAAGUUCUCUCAAUGCAUAUCGAAUGUCCAAGGUAAGUACUGCAUAUAAAUGCAGAGAAAGGUUCUGAUAAGUCCUUUCUGUGUGGCAUGCCAGCUGCUGUACCAGUUACCAUCACCGUCAUCAGGGUGAUUGGGUACCAUGGUAAGCAAGCCUGUGGUCAGCAUGUGGCAGUAAACAGUGAGUUGACAACUCCACAUGAGCUCUAUGGACUGGGGAUGAAGAGAUCCCCACACAAGUCAGAGAAGCAGAGCAGGCAAAAUAGUAGAUGCCCACCAAGCCCCUGAACUGAGGAGGAGCAUCUGAGUGAUGCUGUUUUCAUACUAAUGCUUCUGUACCCUUAGUUAUUCUGCACACCAUGAUAUCACACCACACAUAUAGUGUGGUAGAGCUGCCAUAACAAAAUACUGCAGGCUGAGUCACUUAAGCAGGGAUUUAUUUUCUUAUAAUUUGGGAGGCUAGAAGUCUGAGAUGUGGGCGCCAGCAAGGUUGGGUUCUGGCGAGAACCCUCUCCCUGGCUUGCAGAGCUCUGCCUCCUUGCUGUGUGCCCACGUGGCCUUUCCCCAGUGUGUGCACACAAAGAGAGCACCAGUUUCUCUUCCUCUUCUUAUAAGGACUCCAGUCCUAUUAGAUCAGGACUCUACACUUGAUGACCUCACUUAACCUUAAUCUUCCUGAAUGGCCCUGUGUCCAGUACAGUCACAUGGGGGUUAAGGCUUUAAGAUAUGAAUUUGGCAGGGACAUAAUUCAGUCCAUUGCAUCCUGGGAACUAGAUACUUCCCAGAAACUAUAAUCCAUCUCUGUUUCAGAGACAUCUUCUGUUGGAAAAUGAUUACGAGAAAUAUUUGAAAUUCUGAGUAAGUGAAACUCAAAAGGAAAGAACUUGCAUUGUCUCGAUUCUAAGCUCCAGGAGGGCAGGCAGGCACUGCGCUUCAGUAUUGCAGCACGGGGCACAGCAGUUGGCCCUCAGAAACAUGUGGACUGACAAAAGGUGGUCUUUCCUAAAGACGUAAUAAUGUCAGUAGUUUGUGGGCCUUCAUUUGAUCCCUGUUGAGAACACAAGGGAGGGAGGGAGGCCCCUGUUGUCAUUAAGGGCUGACUAGUCUGGAAUCUUUAUGAGGCAGUCAGUUAAUUUUCUGCUGCUCCUUCCCCUGUCUGGUUCUGCUUCUGAAGACACAGCUACUAAUGAUCAGCUCUGGUGGUCUCUCUGCACUGUCCUUAGAGAAAUCAAGUUUUACACAUAUGGUGUGAUAAAAGCAUAUUCAACAAAAUAAAAAUAUCUAUAGAUACACAUGCACAUGUGACCAAUUAGUUUAAUAAUAAUAGCCUCAGAAAAACUCUCAUUCUCAGGCUUUUUAGAAUUUCCUCUUAAAAGCUAGCACAGUUUUUAUCGUGUUGUUCUGGGGCUCAUCUGUUUAUUCUCUUUUCUGGGUUUUGGUUUUCACAUCUAGUCAUAAUUUCAUAGGGGUGGAAAAAUGUCCCCCUCUUCCCUUCUACAGUAGGUUCUUUGGCUGGCCUAAUAUGUAAGUUGACUUAAGGCAGAUGAACAGGAAGAAAACACUUAAUGCUGUAUGGACGGGAAUCCCAUAAAAGUAUGAGACCCAAACUGGCAGCUUUUAUACCUUUUACACACAAAAACAGUAAAAUUUAUAAAGAAUUCACAAAGGAUUUUGGACUUACAGUAGCAAAUUAGUGAAGAUGUAACAAAAUUUGUUUAUAUAGCCUUCCCUGUCCUAAAUUCCCUAUUUCUGGUGAUAAAAAAUAUCUUCUACCUUCCUGGGACAGGGAAGAUAGCUUUGGGAUGAGAGAUUUGUUUCCUGCCUUCAGGGGGACAGAGAAGAGUCAGAGUGUCCUUAAACUGGCUGUUUCUCAAGUAACUGUAGUUCAGAAUAAUCAGUAUGCCACGGUAUAAUGUUUGGGGGUAGCAUAGUCUGCUCCCCUUCGGUUUUUCUGCUGAAUUAAAGUCUCUGUAUUUCCUUAGAUGUUUAAGAAUAAGGAGACCAGAUGUGACUGCUUCAGAAGCGCACCCAUUUCCAUGGAGCACAGGAGGGUGUUCUGGCCUACCCAGGCCUGCAUGGGCCCCAGCGCUGCCCCCAGCUCUGUGGCUCUGGGCUGGCUUAUCUUUCUCAGUCUCUUAAAGUUGUAGGAUGUAUGGAAUGUAUGUAUAGCCCAGUGCCUGUCCACAGUAAAUGCUCUAAAAUAAAAACUGCUAUAACGACCCCUCCCUUU